rnacentral:rRNA from 1 species
AUUGAACGUUGGCGGAAUGCUUUACACAUGCAAGUCGAACGGUAGAGGGGGCAACCCCUUGAGAGUGGCGAACGGGUGAGUAAUAUAUCGGAACGUGCCCGGUCGUGGGGGAUAACGUAGCGAAAGCUACGCUAAUACCGCAUACGAUCUACGGAUGAAAGCGGGGGAUCGCAAGACCUCGCGCGAUUGGAGCGGCCGAUAUCAGAUUAGGUAGUUGGUGAGGUAAAGGCUCACCAAGCCGACGAUCUGUAGCUGGUCUGAGAGGACGACCAGCCACACUGGGACUGAGACACGGCCCAGACUCCUACGGGAGGCAGCAGUGGGGAAUUUUGGACAAUGGGCGGCAAGCCUGAUCCAGCAAUGCCGCGUGCAGGAUGAA